GCCUCCUUAGCUCAGUGGUUAGAGCACUGGUCUUGUAAACCAGGGGUCGGUGGUUCGAUUCCGCUAGGAGGCA
rfam:Oikopleura dioica, whole genome shotgun assembly, reference scaffold set, scaffold scaffold_19